ensembl:snRNA U6 U6 spliceosomal RNA
GUCCUAGCUUCCGUAGUACAUAUACUAAAAUUGGCAUGAUACAUAGAAGAUUAGCAUGGCCCCUGCUCAAGGAUUACACACAGAUUCAUGAGGCAUACCAUAUUUUU